AUACGUAGGGUGCGAGCGUUGUCCGGAAUUACUGGGCGUAAAGAGCUCGUAGGUGGUUUGUCGCGUCGUCUGUGAAAUUCCGGGGCUUAACUCCGGGCGUGCAGGCGAUACGGGCAUAACUUGAGUACUGUAGGGGAGACUGGAAUUCCUGGUGUAGCGGUGAAAUGCGCAGAUAUCAGGAGGAACACCGGUGGCGAAGGGGGGUCACUGGGCAGUAACUGACGCUGAGGAGCGAAAGCAUGGGUAGCGAACAGGAUUAGAUACCCUGGUAGUCCAUGCCGUAAACGGUGGGCGCUAGGUGUAGGGGUCUUCCACGACUUCUGUGCCGUAGCUAACGCAUUAAGCGCCCCGCCUGGGGAGUACGGCCGCAAGGCUAAAACUCAAAGGAAUUGACGGGG
rnacentral:rRNA from 1 species